GUGAAGGGCAAAAAAAAAACCUUAGAGCUAGAGGUCCAAAAAGGCUGCCAGCAAAAGCCCAAAAAUCCUUCUUCUUAUCUUUAGUUCAGCCAUGAGAGCCACCCUCUUCCUCCAUGAAACCCACCUGAAAACCUUCAUUAAUACCACCUCUUGAAACUUCUAAAAAUGAUCAGAGAUUCAGCCAUAAAACCUCUAUUACACAGUCACAAAACAUCCUUAAAUUCAAGUAAAUAUUACCCACAGAAUCACUCAAAAAAUGAGCUGAAAAAUACCCCAAAUCUAGCCCCAAACGGCCAUGAAAGUUCAGCCAUAAAACCUCCAUUAAACCACCACCAAAGACCAGAAAAUAGCUGCGAAAAUCAGCUCCAAGACACCCCAAAUUCCAGCCCAGAAACCUCCCCAAAACCUGCUGAAAUUAGGCCCCAAAACCACCAAUUUACAGCCUCAAAACCAUCAAAAUUACAGCCCCGAAAACCACCCAAAAACAGCCCUAAAACCAGCCACUAUACCCGCUCUCUUCAACCUUAAAAACGCAGCAUCUCCACCUCAAAAAUAGCUGCAAAACCAUCCAAAACAACAGUCUCGAAAAUCAGAUCUAAGACACCACAAAACAGCCUCAAGAACACAGUAAAACCAGCUCCAAAAAAUUGAAAAACCAGAGCUUAAUCUCAGCUAUAAAUUAGUCCAAGAACCAUCGCCAAUCAGACCUUAAACCACCACAAAGAGAGUUGAGGUCGAGUUCGUCGUCGCUAGUUUUCGGUCAUGGUCGCUGGUGUUUGGCCGUUUGUUGAAUUGCAAAUCUUUAAAAUUCAGAUUCGGCAAUAAAGAUUGGAGCCGUUCAAAGGUCAUUUUGUACAAGAAAGAUAUUUUGGAAUAUCGACCUAACUUCGUUAAGGUUUACAUGUCCGGUCGGUGUCUUGACCUCGCCUCGUCACUAGUCUACCGAGAUUAAGCUUGAUACUUACCGUUGUGGUGUACUCAUGCUACUAUUCUACACAUUUUUGUGCAAAUUCAGGAGGCAGUGCACAAGUGAGAUUCCAGCCCAUAACUGGUCAUCAGCUGGCUGCCGCAUCAGAUAAGGUGGUUUCAAUCUUUGACGUCGAAAAUGACAGGCAACUACAGUCUUUCCAGGGACAUUCUGGAGUGGUGAACUACCUUUGUUGGGAUCUCAAUGGUGAUCUACUGGCAUCAGUAAGUGAGGAGUCCGUUAAAGUUUGGUCAUUGACCACCGGUGAUUGCAUCCAUGAGAAUCAGUUCCACUCUUGUGUCUUUCAUCCUAGCUGUUCAGCUCUAUUGGUGAUUGGAGGAAUGAGGGUAAUUAUUGCUUUCUUUUGCCAAUUCUACUUCUAUCAUUUCUGUAAAAUGUCCAUUUAGUUAGCCUAUUUUCAUCCAGUACAUCUGUUGAAAGAAUACCCAAACAAAUCUCCUUUAAAAUUGCUCAUCUCCGCUUGUGGACGUAGGUCACACUGACCGAACCACAUUAAAUUGGUGUCUCUUUAUAUGCUUUAA